UACAGAGGUCUCAAGCGUUGUUCGGAAUCACUGGGCGUAAAGGGUGCGUAGGCGGCGCGGUAAGUCGGGUGUGAAAUCUCGGAGCUUAACUCCGAAACUGCAUUCGAUACUGCCGUGCUUGAGGACUGGAGAGGAGACUGGAAUUUACGGUGUAGCGGUGAAAUGCGUAGAUAUCUGAAGGAACAUCAGUGGCGAAAGCGACUUCCUGGACCAAUACUGACGCUCAUGUGCGAAAGCGUGGGGAGCAAACAGG
rnacentral:rRNA from 1 species